CUGCUCAGGACUACAAACUGUCCUUCUCCACUGCUCUGGUUUGAUCUGCUGGAAGCAGCUAUCAAGCGGCUUUGCUCUUCUAAGUCCUAAGUGUAACUGAACCCUCCUCAGCAAAGGACAUGAAGAAGUUCAAAACUGAAGGUAUUCAGGACCUGUUGUCAAGGAUCAAGAUUUUGAGCCUUCAGAUUCACCAAAAGGAUUUGUGCGUCUAUUAAAAAAUGGAAACAUCAAACCAGGAGUCAGACCACAAGAACCACUAAGGAAUCACGUAGCAGUCUCACGCUGCAUCAAAUUUUGCUUGACCAGGCAGAUCUUCACUAACUGGAGAUAUUAUGUCAAAUUGUAUCGGCGUGUCAGGGGCAACAAGUGAAUCCAGGGAGAG